rnacentral:rRNA from 1 species
AGUGAACGCUGGCGGUAGGCCUAACACAUGCAAGUCGAACGGCAGCACAGUAAGAGCUUGCUCUUACGGGUGGCGAGUGGCGGACGGGUGAGGAAUACAUCGGAAUCUACUUUUUCGUGGGGGAUAACGUAGGGAAACUUCCGCUAAUACCGCAUACGACCUACGGGUGGAAGCAGGGGAUCUUCGGACCUUGCGCGAUUGAAUGAGCCGAUGUCGGAUUAGCUAGUUGGCGGGGUAAAGGCCCACCAAGGCGACGAUCCGUAGCUGGUCUGAGAGGAUGAUCAGCCACACUGGAACUGAGACACGGUCCAGACUCCUACGGGAGGCAGCAGUGGGGAAUAUUGGACAAUGGGCGCAAGCCUGAUCCAGCCAUACCGCGUGGGUGAAGAAGGCCUUCGGAUUGUAAAGCCCUUUUGUUGGGAAAGAAAAGCAGCAGGUUAAUACCCCGCUGUUCUGACGGUACCCAAAGAAUAAGCACCGGCUAACUUCGUG